rnacentral:rRNA from 1 species
GAUGAACGCUGGCGGCGUGCCUAAUACAUGCAAGUCGAGCGAACAGACGAGGAGCUUGCUCCUCUGACGUUAGCGGCGGACGGGUGAGUAACACGUGGAUAACCUACCUAUAAGACUGGGAUAACUUCGGGAAACCGGAGCUAAUACCGGAUAAUAUAUUGAACCGCAUGGUUCAAUAGUGAAAGACGGUUUUGCUGUCACUUAUAGAUGGAUCCGCGCCGCAUUAGCUAGUUGGUAUGGUAACGGCUUACCAAGGCAACGAUGCGUAGCCGACCUGAGAGGGUGAUCGGCCACACUGGAACUGAGACACGGUCCAGACUCCUACGGGAGGCAGCAGUAGGGAAUCUUCCGCAAAGGGCGAAAGCUUGACGGAGCAACGCCGCGUGAGUGAUGAAGGUCUUCGGAUCGUAAAACUCUGUUAUUAGGGAAGAACAAAUGUGUAAGUAACUAUGCACGUCUUGACGGUACCUAAUCAGAAAGCCACGGCUAACUACGUG